rnacentral:rRNA from 1 species
AGUGAACGCUGGCGGUAGGCCUAACACAUGCAAGUCGAACGGCAGCACAGUAAGAGCUUGCUCUUACGGGUGGCGAGUGGCGGACGGGUGAGGAAUACAUCGGAAUCUACUUUUUCGUGGGGGAUAACGUAGGGAAACUUACGCUAAUACCGCAUACGACCUACGGGUGAAAGCAGGGGAUCUUCGGACCUUGCGCGAUUGAAUGAGCCGAUGUCGGAUUAGCUAGUUGGCGGGGUAAAGGCCCACCAAGGCGACGAUCCGUAGCUGGUCUGCGAGGAUGAUCAGCCACACUGGAGCUGAGACACGGUCCAGACUCCUACGGGAGGCAGCAGUGGGGAAUAUUGGACAAUGGGCGCAAGCCUGAUCCAGCCAUACCGCGUGGGUGAAGAAGGCCUUCGGGUUGUAAAGCCCUUUUGUUGGGAAAGAAAAGCAGCAGGUUAAUACCCCGCUGUUCUGACGGUACCCAAAGAAUAAGCACCGGCUAACUUCGUG